rnacentral:tRNA from 1 species
CGGGGCGUGGCGCAGCCUGGCAGCGCGUCUGGUUUGGGACCAGAAGGUCGCAGGUUCAAAUCCUGUCGCCCCGA